ensembl:lncRNA
UGAUCAGAACUGAAGUGUAUUACCUUGCUGGAUUUUUUUUGGUUUGCUUUUUAGGAGGUAAUUCUGUGUGGAGGCUGAGAGGACUGGUCUAGGCAAAGGAGGAUGGUGGCCUUCAUCAGAGGGGCAGCUGUGGAACUGAACACAUCUGACAUGCCUUCAGACACCAGGAUGAACAGUACAUUGACCCAUGCAUUCAGCAGCUAAAAUGUGCCAGGGCUGUGAAUUCCUGCAUUUAUCUACUUUUGUUUUCCUGUGUAGACACAAGGCUGCCUGGCCUCCCAGAGAAGGAAUUGCAAGAUUAAUGUUGACAUCAUUGAAGAAAACAUCACAAUUCUGAGACUGAAGUCCAAUAUGAGUUCAUCCUGUGAUGUGGCUGCCAAUGAAAACAACAACAAUGAUGAUAUUGUUUAUUGUUGACAGAGGUGAUUCCGUUGUUCUCCUGGGAUAUCAGCACCCUGGGGGAAUUUCUCCAGGGGCGUGUGAAAAAAACAGUCCUCCUGUUGGCAUUCUUUCAUCAUGGAGACAGUGA